rnacentral:lncRNA from 1 species
UGCGGCUCUCCGAAGCUCCUCUGAGGCGAUGGGCUUGCUUUCUGGGUCCCAGAAGCUUGGUUAGGAGUUGGCACAGGCGCCCCGGCCUCGGCUGACCCCGGCCCCGGCUGACCCCGGCCCCGGCUGACCCCGGCCCCUGAGACGUGGGUGGAUUGCUGGCAGGGAUCCGACGUGCAGAACCUGAGGAAGCAGUUUCCAAGAUAAUUUUAACAGCCUUGACUACUGUUACUAAGUCUCCUCCGUCCCACCAGCAUCAGCGCCACAAACCUGGAACCUCCGUCCCUGCCGCUGCAGCUUGCCCCCAGAGCUCGCUGCCGAGUGCGGGCCACACAGUAUCUGAAUCUAUCCUGCAGAAGCACCAAGGGGCCAUAAAGGCCAUGGUUAUGAGCUCCAGAAGAUAGAGCAGAAAUGAACAACAGAGAGAGGGGUUCUCUGGGGCUCUUCAAUGAAAAUUGAAGCCCACUGGGAAAGUGAAGAAAACCUCUGCAAUAAAGGCACACUGGACCACUGUGAUUGGUAAGUUGGUGGGAUCAGCACCUCCCAUAGAAACCCGGGCUCACUUUGGAGGAAGGACAGCUGGAUCCUGCAGUAGAACCUUGCAGAGUUUAGUCCUGCAAGAGGUCAGGGACCCUGUUUUGGAUUGUUUUUUUCUCUCCUCCCUUCUCUUGACUGUCACUUCUUAUCAGAAGGUGAAUACAGUUUCUAGCUUCCCUGUGGCUCUUAGCUUGUUCUGUUCUUGCUCUUUUUUUUUUUUUUUGGGUACUAGGGAUUGAACUCAGGUCCUUGCGCUUGUGCAGCAGGCGGCGAAACCACUGAGCUAAAUCCCCGGCCCUGUUCUGUUCUUGUCAGUGUUCCUUCACUCUGCCUUUUCCUCCUGUCUUCAACAGUUUUCUACAAUUUGCAUGAUAUUCCUGUCUCCUCUGGCCUCAGUUUUUUUUUUCCUCACUUUUAACCUUUUCCUCUCCUUCUAUCUCUCUAUCCCUCCCGCCCCAACCUCUUCUAAAUCCUUAUCUCAGUGGGUAAAUUUGCUAUGUUGAAAGGUUUAUUUACUACAAACAUAUUUUGGGCUGGUUCUUGACUGUGAUCUACCUCAAGCGGUUAAAGGUGACAGACUAAUUGCUACCACAUAUUGUUAUUUUCUAAGCUGUGUUUGAUGCUGUUGUUGUUGCUGAUUGUAGCAACUGGGCUAAGGUGUCAUGAUUGAUCUAAUCAGUUGUCCUCUCUGGUAUACUGAAAACAAGAUUGCCUGAGUCAUUAGAGACUCAAAGCCUAAAAAGACCAGCUAUAACCUGGAAGAUAUCUCUGAGAAGCAGUCACUCCAUAAGGGCUCUAAACACAAGUAAUAAAGAUUCAAUAAGCAGUAUUGAAUUAUCAGCCCAGGAAUUAAACCAAAAAACAGCACCAACAACAAACUUAGAAAUGAGAAGACAUUUACGCCAGGCGCAAACCCAGACUUCCAGCUCACCAAAGGCAAAUUCUGGGGGAAAUGAGGUGGAAAAAAAUCUGAUGAUCAGCCACCUGGACACCCUGAACUGAUAGCACAGGAAGUAAUAAAACAGAUGAAUGAGGCUCUAGAAAAAUUCAAAACAAAUAAUUUCCCAGAUAACUACAGAGAUGGUGAGCAGAAUGAAAGACAUGAUUCUAGAAUAGAAUUCUAGACUCUAGAGCAGAAACAGAUAAAAAAAAAAAAUAGAUGAGCUUAGGCCCAUGAUGGAAGCUAUGAAUGCCCAGCAUGGGAAAGAAAUGGAAACCAUGAAUGCCCAACAUAGGAAAGAAAUGGAAUCCAUGAAACAGAUUCGAACAAAUAUUCAAGAGAUUAAAAACUCAAUUGAAAGUAUUCACAGCAGAUUGAGUGAAUGUGAAGAUAGAAUAUCAGGUAUAGAAGACAGGAUUGCAGUUAGUGACAAUGUUACCAAGUCCCAUAGUCACCCUUCACUUUGGUUGCUAAGGGUGGGGUUUCUAGGGUAGCCAUAAUUAAAACCUCUAUGGGACUACACCCGUCCUUAGCUAAUUUUUUGAGGCCCCUCAAAGACAGUAUCCCUUACAGGAAGUAAGGAAUAAAUGGAAAAUACAGGACUACUUGAGUUUAUAUGUCCUUUCCUCUCAGUGACUUAAGACAGAUUAAACAAACAAGAUCUAAAAAAGUUUUUCAGACAACCCAAAUGAGUACAUUGUGGUUGUUAGAGGACUUGCUCAGACCUAUGAACUAGAUUAGAAUGCUGCAGAGCAGCUCAGUGCUAUAGCCAAGUGCCACAGCUCUGAGGUGCAGCUGAGCUUUACAGCUCAGUGUGGCAGCUCUGGGUCACAGCUCUCAUAAUUUGAAGACUUGAGAAUCCAGUGGGCUAGGGAUUUAGCUCAGUGGUUUCGCUGCCUGCUGUGCGAGCGCAAGGAUCCGAGUUCGAUCCCUGGUACCAAAAAAAAAAAAAAAAUCUUUCUAGGGGCUGGGAUUUAGCUCAGUGGUGCUGCCACCUGCCUCGCAAGUGCAAGGUCCCAAGUUUGAUCCCCCGUAUCAAAAAAAAAAAAAAAAAAAGAAUCCAAUGGUGAGUAGGAGAGGUGGAGAAAAAAACUUUAUUACACUGUUGAGCUCCCAGCGGGCUCAGGAGUCUGAGCACUUUACCAGAAAUGAGAGCCUCCUUGUAUAGGGAUCUACAAGGUAGGCGAGCAUGCUCAAUGAAGCAGGGGCAGAAUUACAGAAUAUUCCUGAAACACAUGCCGUGUGAGCAUGCUCAGUGAAGCGGGGGGGGCAGAGUUACAGAACCUUCCUGAAAGGUCACACAGUUCAAACAGUCACAAACCAUUUUGACACAUUGGGCCGGAGCCCAGCAGCACAAACUUCAUUUCCAAAACAAAACAUUCUGUGGAAAGAAAUGGAGGCACGGCAAGGGCCUGUCUUAUUCUAUAGGACUUCUCUAUCAAGCCAAGCAGCAUUACAAACUGCUACUGCAUUUAGAGAUAAAUAGUAUCAUAGCAGGCAGGGGAACAGCUGGUUCCUACUAGAGACCAAACAGUCCCUAUACAAAACCUCCACUGGCCUGCCAGCCAGACAGGAGAUUAAGAUAGAAGACACUUUCAGGCAUGUAUUCUUGAAGGUUUAAGAAAGAUGAGAACUUGGCUAGGAAUUUAGCUCAGUGGCCCUGCACCUGCCUCGCGAGUGUAAGGUCUUGAGUUCCAUCCCUGGUACCAAAGGCAGGGGGGAAGAUGAGAACUAAACCCUUCAGUUAUUUCAGAUCACCAUCUGUUUAUCAGGAGAACAGUAAGGACAUCUGUAGCUCCUGAUUUGAGAAAAGGAAAUACUGUAGUUUUUUCCGAAGUCACAAUCUUGCAAUAUGUAGAUGGUACAAUGUCAUGUGCCCCCUCAGAAGAGGUCUCUAGCUAAGGCACCCAUGCUCUGCUGAAUUUUCUAACAGACAGGGAUUAUAAGGUUUCUAGAUCUAAAGAACAAAUUCAUAGCUUUGAGGGAGAAUAUUUGGGCCUUAUGUCUGCGGGAACCUGAAGAAAGAAUUAAACCAAUUCUUUCCCUCCCACAGCCCAAGACUCUGAAACAGCUAAGGGGAUUCCUAGGAAUUACAGGUUUUUGAUGACUUUAGAUAACAGGAUAUAGUGAGAUUUCAUGACCCCUCUAUCAGCUUAUAGUUUUUUUUUGUUGUUGUUUUUUUUUUUGUUACCGGGGAUUGAACUCGGGUUCUUGGCGCUUGCACAGCAGGCAGUGAAACCACUGAGCUAAAUCCUCGGCCCCUGCCUCUGUCAGCUUAUAAAGAAACCCAGAAGACAUGUACUCAUAUUUUAACCUGGGAACCUGAUUAACACUUUCACUUCCUCUGUCACUCUCUUUCAAGAGGCUAAAAAUCAGUCUUUCGGGUUCUUUGAUUAUUCGUUUAAAUUUCUGCUUGGCAAUGUGGUUAGAGUAAGCCAUAGUUGUUUCCUCUGGAGACAUGUUUUGCUAAAGAUUAGAGAUUCACUUUGGAAACACACUUGAUUUUAAUUGUCUGCACCUGAGAUGGUUACGGUUUAGUUCUUGUGCCAUACUUAGAGUAACUCUUCUGUCCUUUCUCCACUGCCCUGCCUCUAAAAGACAGUUUUCAGCAGUGUUUGGUUCAAGGCAAUUUCCUCCUCUAUGGCUGCUGGAUUUUGGGACUAAGCUUCCAGAAUGGUGAGUUUCCCUUUCCUGGGACCCUUCCAGAGUAAAGCUGACUUUCAUUUAUCUCUGGGCCAUAUUUAAAAAAAAAAAAAGAAAAGAAAAGAAACUGGCUUAGAUUUAAUCCUGAAACUCUCAAAAAAUAAAGUUUUAGUCCAAGUUUAUCUGCCUUUAAGUCCUUAGGCAGAAUUAGAGAUUAACUCGUCUUCCCUCACUCCUCAAAAAUGACACUGAUUGGUUUUUAUAACACAAGACAGACUGAUUUUUAUAACACAUAUAAUAAGUUCAGCGAUAGAAUGAGACAUUCCUGGGGAACUUUAUGAGUUUAACAAUAGCUUUAAACAAAAAACAGUUAUUAAAGAAUAGGCACUGGGCCAGGGAUUUAGCUCAGUGGUUCUGCUGCCUGCCUUGCCAAGUGCAAGGUCUCGAGUUCAAUCCCCUGUACCACCAAAAAAAAAAAAAAAAAAAAAAAAAAAAAAAAAAAAAAAAAAAAAAAAGGGAUAGGCACAACUCCAGUCCCCAGAGGACUGCCUCUCUUCAUGAUUUCUCGCCAGGACAUCUUGCCAGGCUGGCCACUAUUAUCAGAGAUAUGCUAAUUGAGGCUUUGAAAAAAAGGCCUAUAGCUAAGUAUGGUCCAAGGGUUAGAGGCAAAAUGAGAAAAACUGUCACAGGUAGGCAUCUACAGCAGGACAGAUUAGAACCCUGCUUAAAAUAUAUACUUAGCUCCAGUGGGUGCCACCUAGUCUCUUUCUACAUCCAAACCUGGCUUACACACCCACCCCUAGAAGUAGUUAAAAUUACCUUUCAACAGUCUGCUGCUCUAGAGGAAACAGUUACAUGUGGCUAUCAAGCAGCAUUUCUGGCUUUCAACAGUUGUGACUCUUCAACAGCUAUGGCUAUGAAAGCAACAAUAAAAAGCCUGUAUAGCUAGAUGUUCCAAUCAGAUAAAUCAUCAGCCUAGGGCCCAUCUUAAAAACUGCCUUUGCUUUCACAGGUGUAAAAGGUUUUUUUUUCUUCUAAUUCGUAUUGUAAGAGAUCUCUGUUAAUUGACCUACAAAAGUUCUGGCUAGUCUUAUUUAUACUUACAUAAAACUAUAAAAAGUUUAUUAUAAUUUGACUUGGCC